rnacentral:rRNA from 1 species
UACGAAGGGGGCGAGCGUUGUUCGGAAUCACUGGGCGUAAAGGGCGCGUAGGCGGCCCUCCUAGUCGCGUGUGAAAGCCCCGGGCUCAACCUGGGAAUGCCAUUCGAGACUGCAUAGCUAGGGUGCGGAAGAGGGAAGCGGAAUUUCCGGUGUAGCGGUGAAAUGCGUAGAUAUCGGAAGGAACACCAGUGGCGAAAGCGGCUUCCUGGUCCAGCACUGGCGUUCAGGCACGAAAGCGUGGGGAGCAAACAGG